UACGGGGGGAGCAAGCGUUGUUCGGAUUUACUGGGCGUAAAGGGCGCGUAGGCGGCCAGUGCAAGUCAGUUGUGAAAUCUCCGAGCUUAACUCGGAAAGGUCAACUGAUACUGCUCGGCUAGAGUGCGGAAGGGGCAACUGGAAUUCUUGGUGUAGCGGUGAAAUGCGUAGAUAUCAAGAGGAACACCUGCGGCGAAGGCGGGCUGCUGGGCCGACACUGACGCUGAGGCGCGAAAGCUAGGGGAGCGAACGGG
rnacentral:rRNA from 1 species